rnacentral:rRNA from 1 species
ACGCUCGACACCUACGGGAGGCGGCAGUAGGGAAUCUUCCACAAUGGGCGCAAGCCUGAUGGAGCAACACCGCGUGAGUGAAGAAGGGUUUCGGCUCGUAAAGCUCUGUUGUUGGAGAAGAACGUGCGUGAGAGUAACUGUUCACGCAGUGACGGUAUCCAACCAGAAAGUCACGGCUAACUACGUACCAGCAGCCGCGGUAAUCUGAGCGGGCUGGCAAGGC